rnacentral:hammerhead_ribozyme from 1 species
GUCCAGCUGACGAGUCCCAAACAGGACGAAACGCGCGUCGAACUGUAU